UACGUAGGGGGCUAGCGUUGUCCGGAUUUAUUGGGCGUAAAGAGCGUGUAGGCGGCCAGGUAGGUCCGUUGUGAAAACUCGAGGCUCAACCUCGAGACGUCGGCGGAAACCCUCUGGCUAGAGUCCGGAAGAGGAGAGUGGAAUUCCUGGUGUAGCGGUGAAAUGCGCAGAUAUCAGGAAGAACACCGAUGGCGAAGGCAGUUCUCUGGGCCGUAACCGACGCUGAGGAGCGAAAGCGUGGGGAGCGAACAGG
rnacentral:rRNA from 1 species